CAGGUGGUCAGGUAGAGAAUACCAAGGCGCUUGAGAGAACUCGGGUGAAGGAACUAGGCAAAAUGGUGCCGUAACUUCGGGAGAAGGCACGCUGAUAUGUAGGUGAAGUGAUUUACUCAUGGAGCUGAAAUCAGUCGAAGAUACCAGCUGGCUGCAACUGUUUAUUAAAAACACAGCACUGUGCAAACACGAAAGUGGACGUAUACGGUGUGACGCCUGCCCGGUGCCGGAAGGUUAAUUGAUGGGGUUAUCCGUAAGGAGAAGCUCUUGAUCGAAGCCCCGGUAAACGGCGGCCGUAACUAUAACGGUCCUAAGGUAGCGAAAUUCCUUGUCGGGUAAGUUCCGACCUGCACGAAUGGCGUAAUGAUGGCCAGGCUGUCUCCACCCGAGACUCAGUGAAAUUGAACUCGCUGUGAAGAUGCAGUGUACCCGCGGCAAGACGGAAAGACCCCGUGAACCUUUACUAUAGCUUGACACUGAACACUGGUCCUUGAUGUGUAGGAUAGGUGGGAGGCUUUGAAGCGUGGACGCCAGUCUGCGUGGAGCCGCCCUUGAAAUACCACCCUUUAAUGGCUGGUGUUCUAACGUGGGCCCCUAAUCGGGGUUGCGGACAGUGUCUGGUGGGUAGUUUGACUGGGGCGGUCUCCUCCUAAAGAGUAACGGAGGAGCACGAAGGUUAGCUAAUCCUGGUCGGACAUCAGGAGGUUAGUGCAAAGGCAUAAGCUAGCUUGACUGCGAGCGUGACGGCGCGAGCAGGUGCGAAAGCAGGUCUUAGUGAUCCGGUGGUUCUGAAUGGAAGGGCCAUCGCUCAACGGAUAAAAGGUACUCCGGGGAUAACAGGCUGAUACCGCCCAAGAGUUCAUAUCGACGGCGGUGUUUGGCACCUCGAUGUCGGCUCAUCACAUCCUGGGGCUGAAGUAGGUCCCAAGGGUAUGGCUGUUCGCCAUUUAAAGUGGUACGCGAGCUGGGUUUAGAACGUCGUGAGACAGUUCGGUCCCUAUCUGCCGUGGGCGCUGGAGAAUUGAGGGGGGCUGCUCCUAGUACGAGAGGACCGGAGUGGACGCAUCACUGGUGUUCGGGUUGUCAUGCCAAUGGCACUGCCCGGUAGCUAAAUGCGGAAGAGAUAAGUGCUGAAAGCAUCUAAGCACGAAACUUGCC
rnacentral:rRNA from 1 species